rnacentral:rRNA from 1 species
CAUGCCGUAAACGAUGAGUGCUAGGUGUUGGGGGGCUUCCACCCCUCGGUGCCGAAGUUAACGCAUUAAGCACUCCGCCUGGGGAGUACGGCCGCAAGGCUUAAACUCAAAGGAAUUGACGGGGACCCGCACAAGCGGUGGAGCAUGUGGUUUAAUUCGAAGCAACGCGAAGAACCUUACCAGCUCUUGACAUCUUCUGACAACUCUAGAGAUAGAGUGUUCCCUUCGGGGACAGAAUGACAGGUGG